rnacentral:rRNA from 1 species
UUUUAUGAGAGUUUGAUCCUGGCUCAGGACGAACGCUGGCGGCGUGCCUAAUACAUGCAAGUCGAACGCUUCUUUUUCCACCGGAGCUUGCUCCACCGGAAAAAGAGGAGUGGCGAACGGGUGAGUAACACGUGGGUAACCUGCCCAUCAGAAGGGGAUAACACUUGGAAACAGGUGCUAAUACCGUAUAACAAUCGAAACCGCAUGGUUUUGAUUUGAAAGGCGCUUUCGGGUGUCGCUGAUGGAUGGACCCGCGGUGCAUUAGCUAGUUGGUGAGGUAACGGCUCACCAAGGCCACGAUGCAUAGCCGACCUGAGA